rnacentral:lncRNA from 10 species
AACAUAUUUAACUAUCUAGCCCUUUACAGAAAAGUUUGCUGACUUCUGCUCCGGAUGACUGCUGUGAGAAACCAGUAAGACAACUGACAGGGAAGUGCUUUGUUACCUGCAAAUACUGAUGUAAAAUGUGAAUCUUUAUUAUUGCCUUUUAGAUGUCUACAGGAUUAGUGUGUCGCUCACCCUGUAGCUGCAUUCUUCCUAGCUAAGCAAUCCCAAACACCUUGAGCCUGUUACCUAUUAGGCCAAUUUAAAAAAUUUCUCUUGUUGCCUUUGUUGUUGGGUGGGGUAUUUUUGGACUUGCUCCAGUUUCUCCUAUUCAUUUUUCUUUUAAAUUUUAAUUAAUGUAUAGUAUACUGGAAAGGUUAUUAUCUGGUUCUCAAGUAAAGUCUCAGUUACUAUAGCCAAGAACUGGGUUGGCUUUUUUUUUUUUUUUUUUUUUUUGGAGGGUGUCUCGCUCGGUUGCCCAGGCUGGAGUGCAGUGGCGCAAUUUCGGCUCACUGCAAGCUCUGCCUCCCGGGUUCACGCCAUUAUCCUGCCUCAGCCUCCCGAGUAGCUGCGUCUACAGGCGCCCGCCACCACGCCAGGCUAAUUUUUUGUAUUUUUAGUAGAGACAGGGCUUCAUCAUAUUAGCCAGGAUGGUCUCGAUCUCCUGACAUUGUGAUCUGCCCGCCUCGGCCUCCCAAAGUGCUGGGAUCACAGGCGUGAGCCACCGCACCCGGCCGGGUUGGCUUUUUAAAUAACAGCUCUGUAAUGAAGUACUCUUGGUCAAGUAGAUACAGCAGGAUCCAAAACCAGUUAAAUCACUAACUGUGAACAUUUGAGCAAAUUAUUUACCCUCUCUCGGCCUCAGCUUCCACAUCUAUAAAAUGAGAGCACAAAUUAUACACAGCUUUGAGAGUUACUGUUGAGAUUAUUACAGUGUAUUUGUAAGCAAGCUGACUUAUGCAAAAUGCCUGGCACAUAGUAGGUCCUUAGACAAGGCUGCGGAUGUGGCUUCCUCAUGUCCUUGACAGAGAGACACUUUUCCAUCACAAUCAUGCCCAGAUGAUUUUAAAAUUGUGAGUCCGUCUAUUAGGCAUAAGUAUCCUACCUUACAUUUGUCCCUAUUGAACUUCAACUUGCUUUUGAUUUAUUGAGGUCACUUUGACUUCUAUUCCUGUCUUCUAAGGAGUUAGAAUUU